GUGCCUAAUACAUGCAAGUCGAACGGUCUUUCUAUGGAAGCUUGCUUCCACUGAGAAGAUAGUGGCGAACGGGUGAGUAACACUGGGUAACCUGCCCAUAAGAGGGGGAUAACAUCCGGAAACGGGUGCUAAUACCGCAUAGUUUUCUUGAUCGCAUGAUUGAGAGAGGAAAGACGGCCUUUGUGCUGUCGCUUAUGGAUGGACCCGCGGCGUAUUAGUUAGUUGGUGAGGUAACGGCUCACCAAGACGAUGAUACGUAGCCGACCUGAGAGGGUGAUCGGCCACAUUGGGACUGAGACACGGCCCAAACUCCUACGGGAGGCAGCAGUAGGGAAUCUUCCGCAAUGGACGAAAGUCUGACGGAGCAACGCCGCGUGAGUGAAGAAAGGUUUUCGGAUCGUAAAACUCUGUUGUCAGAGAAGAACAAGUUGGAGAGUAACUGCUCCAGCCUUGACGGUAUCUGACCAGAAAGCCACGGCUAACUACGUGCCAGCAGCCGC
rnacentral:rRNA from 1 species